CAGGGCAUGGCGUAAUGGUAACGCAGGUGACUGUGAAUCACCGAAUGAGGGUUCGAUUCUCUCUGUCCUGA
rnacentral:tRNA from 1 species